AUGGGCGUAGCUCAACGGUAGAGCGGCGGUCUCCAAAACCGCGCGUAGCAGGUUCGACUCCUGCCGCCCGUG
rnacentral:tRNA from 1 species